rnacentral:tRNA from 1 species
GGGGUUGUAGCUCAGUGGUAGAGCGCUCACCUCGCAUGCAUGUGUGAGGCCCUGGGUUUGAUCCUCAGCACCACA